CCAAAUAAAAAACUAUUCUGAAGGAAAAGGUUCACGUCCUCUUAUGGUCUUUGGUUCUACAUCACUGUCUAACUAAUACACAGAUUUGUAGGCUCCAUUACUGCACCACUGUAUAACACACAGUUAAAAGUGCUGUGCGGUUUUUACCUGAACCAACUGAGUAACGAGUCUUAAGUGAACAGAGUCCAUUAAAGCCUGUAGUCCACCUGUUGGGGAAUGAUGAUGUAUAUUGGGUUGGUCUCCCAGACAGAGAUUAAGUAUUGUCUUAGACUAAAAAGUAGUCCAGGACUAGAUUUAAUCCUUGUCUGGGAAACUGAGUGUUAAUGCGUAUAUUUCUAGGAUGCUCAUUUUGUUUAUAAAACCAGUUUCAGGUGCUGAUGAGGCACAAAGCCCACCAAGGAAAGACAGAGCACCAAAGCGGCAAAGACGGGAGGAAACAGAUGGUGAUGAACAAACAGAAAUGGAUGAGGAGGAUGGUGAUUAUGUCCCCCUACCAUUUGUAAGAAGAAGGUGAAGAAGAAGCUGCUGACGGAACAGCCCAGCGAGUUUAACAUGUAUAUUCUAAAGCACUGCCCUGCACUUUUCACCAGUCUUAUUCACAAGGAGCCAGUCUGACUGCAGGUUUUCAUUCCCUUUAAGGAGAAGCACAGCUGAGUCCACACGUUUCAUCAUUUGGUCUCAGUCUUUAAAGAGUUUGUUAGCAGUAUGAGGUCUGAUCCUGGUUGCUUGGACGGAAAACAUGUAGUCACCCUGGCUCUUCAUGGAGAAGACUGGUGAUCUGUUUAGGUGGAAGAUCGUGGUGAGUUUUAUUCUGCAUAUACUGAACUGGUAUGAAUGUCCUCUUAAACAUAACGGGCCACAUUCAUAAAACUUGGUACGCACAAUCAGGAUAAGCUGGUGGCUGCGAGUCCCACAUCACUGGAGAGUCACCAUGAUAUUCACAGUUUUGUUCUCUAUUACUAGAUAAAUUACACUACAGUGGCCAAAUUAAAGAUGAAAAAGUUGUUUGGCUCAUCAGUUUAUAGUUACUCAGAUGAGUGGAUUUGUGGGAUUUGUUGCUGUUUAUUAGGUACACUUGUCCUGUAUAUAAACUUAUUGGCUACUUUAUUAGAAACCCCUGUCUUACAGCUCACUAUACACAGUCUUAUCAGAAUAUUAUGACCACCUCUUGUUUCUACACUCUCUGUCCAUCAUAUCAGCUCUGUUUACCACACAGUUUCACUCUGUAGUUCUACAGUUUCAGACUGUAGUCCGUCUGUUUCUCUGCAUACUUUGUUACCCUGUUCUUCAGUGGUCAGGACCCCCAUGGACCCCCACAGAGCAGGUACUAUUUGGGUGGUGGGUCAUUCUCAGCACUGCAGUCACACUGACGUGGUGGUGGAGUGUUAGUGUGUCAGCGUCACUGCAGUGCUGAGAAUGAUCCACCACCUAAAUAACUAUAUGGUAAACAGAGCUGCUGUAAUGGACAGAGAGUGGGUGAUACGAGUUCUGAUCCCAUUAAUUUUGGCAUGUCAGUGUCGUCCACCUGUUGCUGCACAGUUUAUCAGCCACCCCAUGCCCCAUUCAUCAUCGGUCAGUUUCUGACCACAGGCCCGCUGUUGUCCAGAUAUUAUUUGGGUGGCGGACUGUUCACACAUCGCAACUGUUACAGUUUAACUUCACUUCUCUGCUGCUUUCAGACCCGCUCAACACAGGAGGCGAGCGUGGAGCGACGACGAAAGAGCUGCUGCACUCAGACAUUUGGGAGUUUUCCUUGAACGUUACGAGGUUCCAGGAAAAAAGGACUGAAUUUCAUGUAUCGAGAACGA